rnacentral:rRNA from 1 species
UACGUAGGGGGCAAGCGUUAUCCGGAUUUACUGGGUGUAAAGGGAGCGUAGGCGGCGCGUUAAGUCUGAUGUGAAAACCCGAGGCUCAACCACGGGAGUGCAUUGGAAACUGGCGGGCCGGAGUGCCGGAGAGGUAAGCGGAAUUCCUAGUGUAGCGGUGAAAUGCGUAGAUAUUAGGAGGAACACCAGUGGCGAAGGCGGCUUACUGGACGGCAACUGACGCUGAGGCUCGAAAGCGUGGGGAGCAAACAGG